UGUACUGGUGGCCUAAUGGUUAGAGCAUCCCCCUCAGAUGUGGGAGGUUGUGGGUUUGAUCCCCGGUUGAGUCAU